rnacentral:rRNA from 1 species
UACGUAGGGGGCAAGCGUUGUCCGGAAUCAUUGGGCGUAAAGAGCGUGUAGGCGGCUCGUUAAGUCCGCUGUGAAAGUCCAGGGCUCAACCCUGGAAUGCCGGCGGAAACUGUCGAGCUAGAGUCCGGAAGAGGCGAGUGGAAUUCCUGGUGUAGCGGUGAAAUGCGCAGAUAUCAGGAGGAACACCGAUGGCGAAGGCAGCUCGCUGGGACGGUACUGACGCUGAGACGCGAAAGCGUGGGGAGCAAACAGG